UGGGGAAUCUUGCACAAUGGGGGAAACCCUGAUGCAGCGACGCCGCGUGAGCGAUGAAGGUUUUCGAAUCGUAAAGCUCUGUCCUAUGGGAAGAUAAUGACGGUACCAUGGGAGGAAGCCCCGGCUAACUACGUGCCAGCAGCCGCGGUAAUACGUAGGGGGCGAGCGUUGUCCGGAAUUACUGGGCGUAAAGGGUUCGCAGGCGGCAUGGCAAGUCCGAUGUAAAAGGCGAAGGCUCAACCUUCGUAAGCAUCGGAAACUGUCAAGCUUGAGUGAAGGAGAGGGAAGUGGAAUUCCUAGUGUAGCGGUGGAAUGCGUAGAUAUUAGGAGGAAUACCGGUGGCGAAGGCGACUUGCUGGACUUCAACUGACGCUGAGGAACGAAAGCGGGGGUAGCAAACAGG
rnacentral:rRNA from 1 species